GUGUAUCUGUCUCUCAGCGUCUCUAACAGCUCACACACACACACACACACACACACACCUAGAGACAAAGCUCGCUUGUAAGGACCGUCCUCAUUCCCCUCACCAAGAUGUGUGACCAGACGUUUUUAGCGAUCACGUUCGGCGCCUGCGACAACUGCAGCCAGAACAAACCUCUGAUGAACGUCUACCUGCAGAACGAGCCGGUGAACUACUGCUCGCUGUGCGUGGAGAAGAUGGCGUGUCAGGGUCUGGGGAAGGGGGAGAGCGUGGCCUCGCUGAAGGUCGAGGCGGAGAGUUUAAAGGUCAAACUGGAGCAGGAGCGAGCCAAACUGCACGAUGCAGAGCUGAAUCAGGUGGCGGAGAAGGUGGAAGCUCUGGGUGCGUUCACACUGAAGAGCCGCCGCACGCUGAAGGGUCACAGUAGUAAAGUGCUGUGUAUGGACUGGUGCAGUGAUAAGAGACGCAUCGUCAGCUCCUCACAGGACGGGAAGGUCAUCAUCUGGGACGCCUUCACAACUAACAAGGAGCAUGGCGUCACCAUGCCGUGUACCUGGGUGUUAGCGUGUGCGUACGCUCCCUCCGGCUGUGUGAUAGCGUGUGGUGGGUUGGAUAAUAAAUGCUCUGUCUAUCCUCUGUCUCUGGAUAAGAGUGAGAAUUUGGCAGCGAAGAGGAAACCGGUGGCUGUUCACACCAACUAUCUCUCAUCCUGCAGCUUCACCAACUCUGACAUGCAGAUCCUGACCUCUAGUGGUGAUGGUACGUGUGCAUUAUGGGAUGUAGAGAGCGGGCAGCUGCUGCAGAGUUUCCACGGUCACUCGGCUGAUGUGCUUUCACUGGACCUGGCUCCAUCUGAGACAGGAAACACCUUCGUCUCUGGAGGAUGUGAUAAGAAGGCUAAUGUGUGGGACAUGCGCUCCGGUCAGAACAUCCAGUCCUUCGACACUCACGAGUCGGACAUCAAUGCUGUCAAGUACUACCCAAGUGGUGAUGCUUUUGCCACUGCAUCUGACGAUGCUACAUGCCGUCUGUAUGACCUGAGGGCCGACCGUGAAGUGGCCGUCUACUCUAAAGAGAGCGUCAUCUUCGGUGCCUCCAGCGUGGACUUCUCCCUUAGUGGGCGUCUGCUGUUUGCUGGCUAUAACGACUACACUGUAAACAUAUGGGACGUGUUAAAGGGCACUCGGGUUGCGAUCCUGUACGGCCACGAGAACCGGGUCAGUAAAGUCCGAGUGUCACCUGACGGUACCACGUUCUGCUCGGCAUCAUGGGACGCCACGCUACGGGUGAGGAACCAGUCAUAGUUUCUCAGCACAUUCCUCUGAACCCAGGCAGGACUUUCCACAAGACUUGUUCCACAAUCUGGGCUUGAGUUGAGUCCUCAGUGAGAUUUGGAGCUGAUACAAAGAUGGAUUCACAACAGACCCUUUUAUUUUUAAAUCUUUUAUUUAGUUAUUAAUUUCUCUGACACACUCCUCGGUGUGUCUCGUAGCUGAUCACUAGAUCGUGCGUUAUUGUUGUAUUUGUUUGCGAAUAAUUUAACAUUAUCUAAAGUCCAGGCUAAGAGAGAAAUGUGUAUGAGUGACAUAAAAUAGUUAAUGUAUACAUUAUGUAGUAUUAAGACAUUUAUAAAUACUAAAAAUUAGCAUCACCUAGUCAGAAACACCUAAAUUAUGGUGUAUAAUCAUGAAAUGUGGAUUCAGUAAUAUUAAUAUUAAAGUGAUUCACUGGUUAAACAUUA